AAGCAGGCAGCUGUGUUUGGCUUUUGCCUGGUAAUCUAACCUCUGUUUCACUUUUAUUUGCAUGGUCUUCUCAUUGUUGAGUGGAUCUUUCAUUGUGUUCUUGCUGAAUGGGACUGCCUAUCAUCACACAUCUUUUGGAUGCCAGGAAUUUCAGGGAGCAAGAAGGACUUUAGGCAGAGGUGAUUUGAAAGCCGGAGCGUCAUGAAACACCUCCCAAUUCACCGCGGAUUCAUGAUCCACAGAAAAAUGAAGAAAACAAAGCCCUGCAACCCAAGCAGAGCCACACAGACAGGACAACACUAGGUUGGGAGACUCAAAAAAAAAAAAAAGAAGAAGAAGCGCUUACGUGUGUUAGUCUCAUUCCUUUAAACAGACUCCACUUACAGGCACAUGCACAUAUACACACACACACACACACACACAAACAUCCCACACUCGCUAGCCUCCCACAGAAGCACACAGCCAAGCAGCUACUGAGGAUGCAUGGUUCUGCAGAAAGCCCCAUCUGGGAGAGGGUAUCCUGUUGGAACACAGGCAGGAUGUAUCUAGAAAUCACAGUGGGGCAAGUUUAAAAGAGACUCACCCCUACAACAUCUGUACAGGCUUGAGGAAUCCUGCAGAUAUUUUGGAUUCUUACAGAUUUCACAGUUUAUUCCUGGGGUUGUGCUUGAGGUUUCUUCAGUCUGGUUCACAUCUGCCUUCUUUUGGGAUCAUGGCACUAUCUGGAGAAUCCAACAGAAAAGAGGUGAGAACACACUGCCAUUGCACCUACAUGGAGGUCUCCGCCGCCAAGCUGAGGGCCUUGUAGCUCGGCAAUGAUGACAUUCGUUGUGACACAAGCCAGGGAUCAUAAUCAGGCCUCGUUCCCUGAGUCUAGCACAUGCACAGUCCUGAGGCAGGCAAGGAUGCCCGGCUCUCAGAACUGUCAGCCUGCCUAAGCACAGGAAAAUACUGCAGGCAAAACAGUCCUGGUGUUGCAAUAAAGGCUGCCUGUGAACACCCACUGUGGGACACUAAAUUUCUGCACGUCAAGGCCCCCUUGGGCCAUCUCUGUCGUCUGGUCCCCUGGAGGAGGAGGCAUUUUCAGACUGUGAGGUGGUCACUGGAAACUGGUCUUCUGACUUUAUUCCCCAAAGAGGCUGUGUGCAAGAAUCAGGUCCCAUGGGGAUUGGAAUAUAGUCUGGUGUUUCUGAAGGUCCUUUGGGUGAUAGAAACAUGUCUGAGACCCCAGA
rnacentral:lncRNA from 10 species